CUGACCGGUCUAAAGGUUUGCCAUGCCUUUAAAACAUGGUAUAGUAUAAAUUUUUUAAGUCUCUGAGAGUUCUGAAAGAUUCAGGUGAAACCAUGUCUGUUUAAUCUGGUCCAGAUGUUUGUUCAAUUUCUAUAAGAUUUAAGUUGAUGCAGCAUCAUCUCAGAUUAGUUAAUGGUAGUUUUAUACAAAUAGUUGAGUUAUGAGCGCGCUAUAUAAAUGGAUCCUUUCUUUAAAUACAAUACUAUAGUAGAUUAAAGUAAUGAAGUUAAUUAAGAAAAUGUAUACAUAAGAAUCCCUAAAAUAAAUCUAAACUAAAAUUGGUAUACCUUCCAAUAAUAUGUUCUGAAUACAGCUGUUAACUGUUUAUUUUGUGUAAAUGGUGAUUGUGAUAAUGUGUGAUAAUGUGCGAUAAGUGUGCAGUUUAACUUGAAAGUGGUUUAAUUUAUGUUGCUGUAUUGUUUUAAAUUAUAUGUGAAUCAGUUUGUCACAGUCUAGUGAUACUGAUAAGAAUGACAGCCAAAUAACCUAGCAAAUAACUGUUUUAUUAGUUGUUGAAUACUAGCGUUUUGGCCAAGAAUAGUUGGAGAUUUGGAGGUGUUAGUUUAAGAUUGCUUUUAUAUUGUGUCUAUCUGUGUUUCCUAGGAGGGAGACAGAGUGUGUAGUUGUGUGCCCAUAAAUGUGAUUUCUGUAUUGGCAUAUCUGCUGGGUACCCAUUAUGUGUUUCUACAAAGAUAUUGUUUUAUGAGAUGACUAAUAUUACAUGGGAUGCUGAGUAUGAGUUAUAUGGUUUGAAAUGAAUUGGUGAUUAUGAGCUUAGUACUUCAGUAAGAUGUGCUAAAAUUUGGAACAAGGUGGAAGCUGAAAUGUUGGGAUUAUGGAAGAAUAAGCAGUCUAUAUUCACUGCUUUGGCAUAUAAGCAGGAUGCAAAGGAAGAGAUUGGUAAUAUGAUUUUUGUAAAGAAAUUUUACAAGUGUUGGAAGGAUGAGGCAGGUUUGAUGUCUGGAGAUGAUAUAGAUCUCUUUAAAAUACAGUCAUGCCUUGGUAAUAUGUUGCCACAGUAUUAUUUGCUUGUGAAACAAUUGAUUUCAGACUGGGCCAAUUUGGAUAGCUCAGAGUUUCUUACCAAGGUUAUAGAAAAGGAAAAUGCAGGUUGUUUUGAAUUAAGAAAAGAUUUAGGAAAGUAAGGUUGCUUAUUAUGCUCAGGGAUUGCAACAUAUUAUGUCCAGCUACACAGGCUGAGAGCGUGGAUGGGAUGGAGCACAUAAAGCCAGUGGAAGGG